CCUCCCAUGUGGCCGAACCAAAAAGUUUUGUGCUAGUCCACUGCCACAGUCCUGGCUGCAGGUGGCUUUUGGGACCAGGGGGCACCUAGCAUCUGAGUCCGGAAUCUACUUUCCACAGGGUGACACGCUUCCCUGAAGACCCGAAGCCUGACUGACUUCCUGGGUGCUUCAAUGGAGGAGCCACAGUCAGACCUCAGCAUCGAGCCCCCUCUGAGUCAGGAGACAUUUUCAGACUUGUGGAACCUACUUCCUCCAAACAAUGUUCUGUCUACAUCGCUGUCAGUUGAUGCCAUGGAAGAUCUGUUCCUGUCCCAGGAUGUUGCAAACUGGUUAGAAGAGCCAAGUGAAGGCCCCCAAAUGUCAGCAGCAACUUCUACAGCAGAGGACCCUGUCACUGAGGCCCCCGCACCGGUGACUCCUGCACCAACCACUUCCUGGCCCCUCUCAUCUUCUGUCCCGUCCCAAAAAACCUACCAGGGCGAAUAUGGUUUCCGCCUGGGCUUCCUGCACUCAGGGACGGCCAAAUCUGUCACAUGCACGUACUCCCCUUCCCUCAAUAAGCUAUUCUGCCAGCUGGCAAAAACAUGUCCUGUGCAGUUGUGGGUCAGCUCCACACCUCCUCCUGGCACCCGUGUCCGUGCCAUGGCCAUCUACAAGAAGUCCCAGCACAUGACCGAAGUCGUUAGACGCUGCCCCCACCACGAGCGCUGCUCCGAUGGUGAUGGUUUGGCUCCCCCUCAGCAUCUCAUCCGAGUGGAAGGAAACUUGCGAGCCGAGUAUCUGGAUGACAGGCAGACUUUUCGGCACAGUGUGGUGGUGCCAUAUGAGCCACCUGAGGUCGGCUCUGACUGUACCACCAUCCACUACAACUAUAUGUGUAAUAGCUCCUGCAUGGGGGGCAUGAACCGCCGGCCCAUCCUCACCAUUAUCACACUGGAAGACCCCAGUGGGAACCUGCUGGGGAGGAACAGCUUUGAGGUUCGUGUUUGUGCCUGUCCUGGGAGAGACCGCCGUACGGAGGAAGAAAAUUUCCGGAAAAAGGGAGAGCCUCGUCCAGAGCUGCCGCUGGGAAGUACUAAGCGAGUGCUGCCCACCAACACAAGCUCCUCUCCCCAGCCAAAGAAGAAACCACUUGAUGGAGAAUAUUUCACCCUUAAGGUACCAAGGUUGGGAGAGUCACAUAGCGAAGACAAGGUGUAUCCACAUUGCCUUUAUUGAUGUCUCUUGCGUUAUCAAGCGAGUACUGUUGCCAGGUUAAAGUUCCAAGUCUAGCACACAAAAUGCUAUUUCUCUUUAGCCCUUUGUCUCUGGCUAUGGCCUUAGCUUCAGACCAUAUGUUCGGUGGGCAGCAUGCCUCAGAGACCUAACUUGAGAACACCAACUUAGACCAUAAUACAGGUAGGUGCUCCUCUACCUAAGAUGAGACCUCGUCCUGGCAAAAUCACUGUAAGUUGAAAAUACCUUAUGUCAAAAAUGCAUUUAGAGCCAAGCAUGGUUGGCACAUAAUUUCAGAACCGAGGAUUUGAAGCUUGCAAGAAACCGUAAUCAAGCUGGGCAGUGGUGGUGCACGCCUUUAAUCCCAGCACUCGGGACGCAGAGGCAGGCAGAUCUCUGUGAGUUCGAGGCCAGCCUGAUCUACAAGAGCUAGUUCCAGGACAGGUUCCAAAGCUACAGAGAAACCCUGUUGAGAGAGAGAGACAGACAGACAGACAGACAGACAGACAGACAGACAGACAGACAGACAGACAGAGAGAUCAAAACAAGGACAUUUGGGUUUAAGGUCACAGCUCAGUUUCAGGAUACAGGCCCUGAAUUCCCAGUGGCGCACACAGUGCACUUAAUCCACCUAACCGACUGGACUCCACAGCUCAGCAACAUAGUGUAUUUCCCAGACUGAAUUUCCCCUCGUGAUCGUGCUGUUGAGAGCUGUGCCUUUCUGUCCGUCGUCAGCAUCAACAGAGCAUCCUACUAUGUUAUCGCUAACUGGAAAAGACCCAAAUUUGAUACACACUUUCUACUGAAUACCUGUUGCUUUCACCCCAUCAAAAAGUCCCCCCAACAACUAUCCGUGGUCGUGAACGCUUCAAGAUGUUCUCAGAGCUGAAUGAGGCCUUAGAAUUAAAGGAUGCUCAGGAUGCAAAUGGGUCAGGAGACAGCAGGGCUCACUCCAGCUACCUGAAGUCCAAGAAGGGCCAGUCG